GGGGAAUAUUGCACAAUGGGCGCAAGCCUGAUGCAGCCAUGCCGCGUGUGUGAAGAAGGCCUUCGGGUUGUAAAGCACUUUCAGUCAGGAGGAARGGUUAGUAGUUAAUACCUGCUAGCUGUGACGUUACUGACAGAAGAAGCACCGGCUAACUCCGUGCCAGCAGCCGCGGUAAUACGGGAGGUGCGAGCGUUAAUCGGAAUUACUGGGCGUAAAGCGUACGCAGGCGGUUUGUUAAGCGAGAUGUGAAAGCCCCGGGCUCAACCUGGGAACUGCAUUUCGAACUGGCAAACUAGAGUGUGAUAGAGGGUGGUAGAAUUUCAGGUGUAGCGGUGAAAUGCGUAGAGAUCUGAAGGAAUACCGAUGGCGAAGGCAGCCACCUGGGUCAACACUGACGCUCAUGUACGAAAGCGUGGGGAGCAAACAGGAUUAGAUACCCUGGUAGUCCACGCCGUAAACGAUGUCUACUAGAAGCUCGGAACCUCGGUUCUGUUUUUCAAAGCUAACGCAUUAAGUAGACCGCCUGGGGAGUACGGCCGCAAGGUUAAAACUCAAAUGAAUUGACGGGGGCCCGCACAAGCGGUGGAGCAUGUGGUUUAAUUCGAUGCAACGCGAAGAACCUUACCUACACUUGACAUACAGAGAACUUACCAGAGAUGGUUUGGUGCCUUCGGGAACUCUGAUACAGGUGCUGCAUGGCUGUCGUCAGCUCGUGUUGUGA
rnacentral:rRNA from 1 species